GCACUACGGUGCUGAAGCAACAAAUGCCCUGCUUCCAGGAAAAGCCUCUAAGCAUCAGGUAACAUCAAAUCGUACCCCAAACCGACACAGGUGGUCAGGUAGAGAAUACCAAGGCGCUUGAGAGAACUCGGGUGAAGGAACUAGGCAAAAUGGUGCCGUAACUUCGGGAGAAGGCACGCUGAUAUGUAGGUGAAGCGACUUGCUCGUGGAGCUGAAAUCAGUCGAAGAUACCAGCUGGCUGCAACUGUUUAUUAAAAACACAGCACUGUGCAAACACGAAAGUGGACGUAUACGGUGUGACGCCUGCCCGGUGCCGGAAGGUUAAUUGAUGGGGUCAGCGCAAGCGAAGCUCUUGAUCGAAGCCCCGGUAAACGGCGGCCGUAACUAUAACGGUCCUAAGGUAGCGAAAUUCCUUGUCGGGUAAGUUCCGACCUGCACGAAUGGCGUAAUGAUGGCCAGGCUGUCUCCACCCGAGACUCAGUGAAAUUGAACUCGCUGUGAAGAUGCAGUGUACCCGCGGCAAGACGGAAAGACCCCGUGAACCUUUACUAUAGCUUGACACUGAACAUUGAGCCUUGAUGUGUAGGAUAGGUGGGAGGCUUUGAAGUGUGGACGCCAGUCUGCAUGGAGCCGACCUUGAAAUACCACCCUUUAAUGUUUGAUGUUCUAACGUUGACCCGUGAUCCGGGUUGCGGACAGUGUCUGGUGGGUAGUUUGACUGGGGCGGUCUCCUCCUAAAGAGUAACGGAGGAGCACGAAGGUUGGCUAAUCCUGGUCGGACAUCAGGAGGUUAGUGCAAUGGCAUAAGCCAGCUUGACUGCGAGCGUGACGGCGCGAGCAGGUGCGAAAGCAGGUCAUAGUGAUCCGGUGGUUCUGAAUGGAAGGGCCAUCGCUCAACGGAUAAAAGGUACUCCGGGGAUAACAGGCUGAUACCGCCCAAGAGUUCAUAUCGACGGCGGUGUUUGGCACCUCGAUGUCGGCUCAUCACAUCCUGGGGCUGAAGUAGGUCCCAAGGGUAUGGCUGUUCGCCAUUUAAAGUGGUACGCGAGCUGGGUUUAGAACGUCGUGAGACAGUUCGGUCCCUAUCUGCCGUGGGCGCUGGAGAACUGAGGGGGGCUGCUCCUAGUACGAGAGGACCGGAGUGGACGCAUCACUGGUGUUCGGGUUGUCAUGCCAAUGGCACUGCCCGGUAGCUAAAUGCGGAAGAGAUAAGUGCUGAAAGCAUCUAAGCACGAAACUUGCCCCGAGAUGAGUUCUCCCUGACUCCUUGAGAGUCCUGAAGGAACGUUGAAGACGACGACGUUGAUAGGCCGGGUGUGUAAGCGCAGCGAUGCGUUGAGCUAACCGGUACUAAUGAACCGUGAGG
rnacentral:rRNA from 1 species